GGGUCUAGAACAUCUUACAGGUAUCCUUAACACUCAGUGUGGCAGUUUCCAUGUGUCACUGCAACGCUUUGGUCCAGACUCAACCAUCUCACCAAUGGAAGGACAGCAUUAAAAUUGCAUUAGUAUGUGGUUUUGCUGUCUCCACAUGAUAAUUUAUGGUCUGAAAGGUCUCCAUCCCCUCAGUGCUACAUCUGCCUUUCGUGCUCCUGAAACCAACUGUUACUAAACACCGAUGAUCCCGAGCCUCUACACUGCUCUUCAGUUUCCACAUGCUUAACACUUAUUUUAUUUUUAUUGAUCUGUGUGUUUUCAUGUGUAUGUGUUUUUGGCUCAACUGGAAAGCACUAUGCGCCAACUCCCAUUGUUUUUAAAUGUGCUCUAUACUCUCAAUAAAGUGGCUU